rnacentral:rRNA from 1 species
AAAGAACGCUGGCGGCGUGCCUAACACAUGCAAGUUGAGCGGUAAGGCCCCUUCGGGGGUACACGAGCAGCGAACGGGUGAGUAUCGCGUGGGUAACCUACCCAGAGGUGGGGGAUAGCCCCGGGAAACCGGGGGUAAUUCCGCAUGAGUCCUCGGUGACACAAGUCGCCGCGGGGAAAGGCGGGGAUCCUUCGGGACCUGUCGCCUCUGGAUGGGCCCGCGUCCGAUUAGCUAGUUGGUAGGGUAAUGGCCUACCAAGGCGACGAUCGGUAGCCGGCCUGAGAGGGUGAACGGCCACAUUGGGACUGAGACACGGCCCAGACUCCUACGGGAGGCAGCAGUGGGGAAUUUUGGGCAAUGGGGGAAACCCUGACCCAGCGACGCCGCGUGGAGGAUGAAGGCCUUCGGGUUGUAAACUCCUGUCAGGUGGGAAGAAAAGCUGUCCGGUUAAUACCCGGAUGGAAUUGACGGUACCACCAAAGGAAGCCCCGGCUAACUCCGUUGCCAGCAGCCGCGGUAAGACGUAGGGGGCAAGCGUUGUCCGGAAUUACUGGGCGUAAAGGGCGUGUAGGCGGCCUUUCAAGUCAAGCUGUGAAAUUUCCCCCGGCUCAACUGGGGGUCUUGCAGGUUGAAAA